AUGACAAUUUGGUCUGUUCCUAUCUCAGCAGAAUGGCUCGUGGCGAUCAUCAAAAUGAUGAUGAUGAUUUCAUGGAUCCACCACAGCGUAAUCGGACAACUGCACGGAGAAAAGAGGAAGAAACGUAUUCGCAACAGAGCCUCCCAAGAACGACUGACUGCGUUGACUGACAAAUUCACCGACGAUCAGAAGGGAGCUGCUCCUGAGAUGGGUGUGCAGGCUAUGAUGGAUGUCCGGUGCAUGAACCUUGUCAACCCUGUAUGCAACUGGCUUGGUGAGAUCUACGACCCCGCCUCCAGGGAAUUCAUGAUUCCGGGACGUGGAAGACUACAGUUGAACGAGGAAUCUGUGUUCUGCACUUUGGAUGUGCCUCGUGGACAUAUCAAAGUCCCGUACGAGGUCAAUAAUGAGAUCGAGGAAGCGUUGUUCCCCCGUUUGUUUCCUGGGUUGGAAUCCAUGCCGAACACGUCUGCAAUGGCAGAUUCGCUGCAGGCCAUGACAACGCAUGGAGAUGUUUUCAAGAUGAAGCUACUCAUGUACCUCAUCUCAGUUGUUUUCGCGCCGACCACUUCUCUUCGCCCAAGCAACAAAUGCUUUCCCAUCCUGGCGGAUCUGAAAAAUGUGAAGAACAUGAAUUUGUGUAAGUUUAUUGCCGACUUCCUGCACGAUGCAUUCUCAAACAAGAUGUACCAAAAGGGUUGUCGACUGCAUUUAAUGCUCAUGUACGUCGACUGUCUUGAUCUGUCCACCAUGGCUUUCAUUGGGACUGGAGGCCCGCCGCCUACACACAAGUUUGUUGUUUCUGCGUGGACUAUCAAUGCUGUCAAGGUUGUGCUUGCCGCAGACAAGGCUACUGACACCACAUAUGGAAAACUGCAGCUGAUGGCCAAGCACGCUAUAGACUACAGCGUGUUUGGGGGGCCUCAAAACUUUGGAAAGUGGAUGGACGUGCACUCAGCUCCGUCUUGCCUUGCCGAGGCAAGGGCACCUGUUGAGCAUCUAAUAGGGCAGUUUGCAUCCGGAAUGACCGGCUUUCUCGGGAAGUUGGUUGAGGGGUGGACGUCCCUCAGUGGCUCUGACAGUGACGUGGUUGCGAGGCAGUUCACUUCAUUUGUCCCAGAAUGUACACAUCGGCCAACCAGUUGCCGUGGCCGGUAUGACUACAACAGUUCCCAAGAGCCUGCUGACACACAAGAUGAACUAGGUGGAGAUGCUGGUCUUAGCAAGGAUGACGACGAUGACAUGGAGAAUGUGCAACAGGACACCGAUGAUGAUGAACAUGCUGAAGUUUGCGCAAGUGGUAACAAGGGCAAGGAUGCAACAGAUGUCCCCCAACCGAAGAAAGUCAAAGAACAUACGGCUGCGAGAGGCGAGGGGGUUUUGCCAUCAAAGAGGGGGAGGGCUCCAGAGGGUGUUGGGCAGGGUUCUCCUGGCAAGAGGUCUAGGACCGAUCCUGUAGCUGCCAGGAAGAGGUUCAACUUUUAUUUUAGUGUUUUGCUUUGUCUAUUUUCUUUGCACAGACUCAUCCUUUUUUUU
rnacentral:rRNA from 1 species